rnacentral:rRNA from 1 species
AUUGAACGCUGGCGGCAGGCCUAACACAUGCAAGUCGAACGAGUGGCGGACGGGUGAGUAAUGUCUGGGAAACUGCCUGAUGGAGGGGGAUAACUACUGGAAACGGUAGCUAAUACCGCAUACCAUCAGAUGUGCCCAGAUGGGUUUAGCUAGUAGGUGGGGUAACGGCUCACCUGGGCGACGAUCCCUAGCUGGGAUGGAAGGAUGACCAGCCACACUGGAACUGAUACACGGUCCAGACUCCUACGUGAGGAAGCAGUGGGGAAUAUUGCACAAUGGGCGCAAGCCUGAUGCAGCCAUGCCGCGUGUAUGAAGAAGGCCUUCGGGUUGUAAAGUACUUUCAGCGGGGAGGCGUUACCCGCAGAAGAAGCACCGGCUAACUCCGUGCCAGCCGCCGCGGUAAUAC